rnacentral:misc_RNA from 1 species
GUGCCAAAUGGCAGAGAGCCAGUUCAACAUGACGCCUGAUCAUUGAAGCUUCAUUAUUGGAAUUUUGAACAAUCCAUGUAAGUGCACCAUCUUCUAUCAGUGAAGAACGCCCAGCUUUCUGACCUUGAGCUGAAGCUCUGGACUCGCACUUUGCAAAAUUUGCAAUUCCCCGUGCAACUUGAGACAGAACAUCUGGAUGUCUACAUCUCACCAUCCCUAACAGUG